UAUGAUCAGGUAUUGCGUUUUAAAAGCCAUUCCUGAGAAGACAUCUGAAAAGCUUGACGGAGUUAUUUUCCAUUACUUACUGGAGCCUGUCGUGGAAAAAUUGUUUACAAAUAACUUUUUGCAUGUUUUUACGUAUCCGGUUUGUUCAUCGCACUUGUCAAACAACAUGGAAAUUUCCAAAUCAUUGAGAAAGAACGUUCAUUCAUUGCGACAUAUCAACAGACCGAGAUAAGGAUAAAUCAGUCAGCUACUCAUAGACAUAAUGAAAAUUAGUGCUUUAUACCUGACAAAAUACUUGUCUAUAUUAGUGUGCAUAAGUAGUGUCAGCCAUGCGGUAAAUGUUGAUGGAGGUAGCUUUUCACAGGUUCUUACAGACAUAGCCAAUAACGCGUUAGGAGUUAAUAAAAUACAGGAACAUUAUAACAGUCUACGUUACACAAACUCAUUAUUGGAUGGAGAAGGACUGGUAACAGAG